rnacentral:rRNA from 1 species
AAAUUGAAGAGUUUGAUCAUGGCUCAGAUUGAACGCUGGCGGCAGGCCUAACACAUGCAAGUCGAACGGUAACAGGAAGCAGCUUGCUGCUUCGCUGACGAGUGGCGGACGGGUGAGUAAUGUCUGGGAAACUGCCUGAUGAAGGGGGAUAACUACUGGAAACGGUGGCUAAUACCGCAUAACGUCGCAAGACCAAAGAGGGGGACCUUCGGGCCUCUUGCCAUCAGAUGUGCCCAGAUGGGAUUAGCU